rnacentral:rRNA from 1 species
GUAUAGGCGAUAGAAAUUUUAAUCUGGCGCUAUAGACACAGUACCGUAAGGGAAAGAAUAAAAAUCGUCUGAGCAUAAAACAGCAAGAAUUAAUCCCUGUACCUUUCGCAUAAUGGAUCAACUAGAAACAAUUUCGCAAAGAGAACUAAAGCCAAAUCCCCCGAAACCAGACGAGCUACCCGAAAACAGCUAAAAGAGCGCACCCGUCUAUGUGGCAAAAUAGUGGGAAGAUUUGCGGGUAGAGGUGACAAGCCUACCGAGCCUGGUGAUAGCUGGUUAUCCAAGAUAGAAUCUUAGUUCAACCUUGAGUUUACCUACAGAACUACUUAAUCCCCUUGUAAACUCAAUUGUUAGUCUAAAGAGGCACAGCUCUUUAGACACUAGGAAAAAACCUUAUAUAGAGAGUAAAAAGCAUAACCACCAUAGUUGGCCCAAAAGCAGCCAUCAAUUAAGAAAGCGUUCAAGCUCAACAUCAACCACCUAAAAAACCCCAAACAUAUAACUGAACUCCUCACAUCACAUUGGAUUAAUCUAUCACUAUAUAGAAGCAAUAACGUUAGUAUAAGUAACAUGAAUAUUUUCUCCACUGCAUAAGCCUAAAUCAGACCGAAAACUUCACCGAUACUUAACAGCUUAGUAUUGACAAACAUAAACAAGCUCAUACUACCUUCACUGUUAAUCCAACACAGGCAUGCCCCUAAGGAAGGUUAAAAAAAGUAAAAGGAAUUCGGCAAACUUAACCCCCGCCUGUUUACCAAAAACAUCACCUCUAGCAUCACUAGUAUUAGAGGCACUGCCUGCCCAGUGACACAUGGUUAACGGCCGCGGUACCCUGACCAUGCAAAGGUAGCAUAAUCGCUUGUUCUUUAAAUAGGGACUUGCAUGAAUGGCAUCACGAAGGUUUAACUGUCUCUUACUUUUAACCAGUGAAAUUGGCCUGUCCGUGAAGAGACGGACAUGAACUAAUAAGACGAGAAGACCCUGUGGAGCUUCAAUUUAUCAGUGCAACUAAAAACUAUACAAACCUACAGGCCCUUAAACCUCUAUACCUGCACUAAAAAUUUUGGUUGGGGUGACCUCGGAGCACAACCAAACCUCCGAAUAAUCUAUGCUAAGACCACACAAGUCAAAUCGAACACUUACAAUUGACCCAAUAAGUUGAUCAACGGAACAAGUUACCCCAGGGAUAACAGCGCAAUUCUAUUCUAGAGUCCAUAUCAACAAUAGAGUUUACGACCUCGAUGUUGGAUCAGGACAUCCUAAUGGUGCAGCAGCUAUCAAGGGUUCGUUUGUUCAACGAUUAAAGUUCUACGUGAUCUGAGUUCAGACCGGAGCAAUCCAGGUCGGUUUCUAUCUAUUCUACAUUUCUCCCUGUACGA